rnacentral:rRNA from 1 species
GAAGGGGGCUAGCGUUGCUCGGAAUCACUGGGCGUAAAGGGUGCGUAGGCGGGUCUUUAAGUCAGGGGUGAAAUCCUGGAGCUCAACUCCAGAACUGCCUUUGAUACUGAAGAUCUUGAGUUCGGGAGAGGUGAGUGGAACUGCGAGUGUAGAGGUGAAAUUCGUAGAUAUUCGCAAGAACACCAGUGGCGAAGGCGGCUCACUGGCCCGAUACUGACGCUGAGGCACGAAAGCGUGGGGAGCAAACAGGAUUAGAUACCCUGGUAGUCCACGCCGUAAACGAUGUCUACUAGUUGUUGGGGACGAUAGUCCUUGGUAACGCAGCUAACGCGUGAAGUAGACCGCCUGGGGAGU